UACGUAGGUAGCGAGCGUUAUCCGGAUUUACUGGGUGUAAAGGGCGCGUAGGCGGGACUGCAAGUCAGGUGUGAAAACUAUGGGCUUAACCCAUAGCCUGCACUUGAAACUGUAGUUCUUGAGUACUGGAGAGGCAAUCGGAAUUCCGUGUGUAGCGGUGAAAUGCGUAGAUAUACGGAAGAACACCAGUGGCGAAGGCGGAUUGCUGGACAGCAACUGACGCUGAGGCGCGAGAGCGUGGGGAG
rnacentral:rRNA from 1 species